CACUGCAUUCCAACCUGGGUGACAAGGUGAGACCCUGUCUCAAAAAAAAAGGUAGGUCCUCCUCAGCCAGGUCAAAAUCAGUUAUCAAAUACCUGGAACUUCGUUGUGUAACCCGUGGCUUCUGUGCAAUUUUGCUUUGUGGUUGUUCUUACAAAAUUUCCUCCUUUUGCUUUGUAUGACGUCAGCGCCCUUGAGGAAUAAGACUCUUGAGAGCUGGAACUGUGUCCCCACCAACUGGUGCAGUGUCUGCCACAUAACAAAUUCAAUGGCUGCUUGUUGAAUUGACGUAUGAGGUCAGGGGUCCCAACCCCUGGGCCAUGGACCAGUACUGGACUAUCGCCUGUUAGGAACUGGACCACACAGCAAGAAAUGAGUGCUGGGAGAGCAGCAGGCACUGGGCUGGGCUGGCAUUGCUGCAUUUAGAUGAUGGGCGGAUACGGAUCUUCCCAGGUUCAUGCUGAGGAAAGAAAAGGGCAGAGACUGACAGCUCUCCCUGGCCUCCAUUCUCAUCGGUGGCCUGACCCUCCUCCAGCCUAGGAUGCCGUGUCCGCAUAGCAACCCAGCCACCUUCUGUGUUCUCAGGUGAGUCUCACAGCAGUAACACUGGGUUUUGGGGUUCACCACAUUUCUUUUUGCUCCCAGGGUAUCUCAGAAUUUGGUUCAGGGGAAGAAGCAGCAAAGUGCGUUCAUUAACUCAUCAUCUUAUUGGAGCUUUUUCAACUACUCUCCUGCUUUGAUGCACUGACUGAUUGGAUGGAGUUGCUGAUGGAUGGACAGAUUUCUUGCUCUAUACCCAGCCAAAAAGUUUUGGUUGUAAGUGGGAAUUUCACAUUUCCUUAUUCUGAGUGGGUAAAUGACACUACCAACUCAGUCUCACAAAUAAAAGUAAAUGUAAAAACUGGAUAAUGUAGCAGACCCACAACAACCCUGUUAGAGCAAAGAGAUUCCAUCUGUGGGAGAUGGAGGAAGGCAAGGCAUCUUGUUUUGUGCCUGCCUCCAUCAGCGCUACUUGGGCACUGUCCUGGUACCCUACAUCAGUGAGUGCUUCUCUUCAGACUUGCAUACGUCCCUUAGCCCAU